GUCCACGCCCUAAACGAUGGAUGCUAAGUGUUGGACUUCGGUUCAGUGCUUCAAGCUAACGCAUUAAGCAUCCCGCCUGAGGAGUACGGCCGCAAGGUUAAAACUCAAAUGAAUAGACGGGGACCCCGCACAAGCAGUGGAUCAUGUGGUUUAAUUCGACACUAAACGAGAAACCUCACCUAGGCUUGACAUUGAUAGAAAGAAGUAGAAAUAACAUCUGUGCCGCAAGGGAACUUGAAACAAGGUGCUGCAUGGUUGUCGU
rnacentral:rRNA from 1 species